rnacentral:rRNA from 1 species
GAUGAACGCUGGCGGCGUGCCUAAUACAUGCAAGUCGAGCGAACGGACGAGAAGCUUGCUUUUCUGAUGUUAGCGGCGGACGGGUGAGUAACACGUGGAUAACCUACCUAUAAGACUGGGAUAACUUCGGGAAACCGGAGCUAAUACCGGAUAAUAUUUUGAACCGCAUGGUUCAAAAGUGAAAGACGGUCUUUCUGUCUCUUAUAGAUGGAUCCGCGCUGCAUUAGCUAGUUGGUAAGGUAACGGCUUACCAAGGCAACGAUGCAUAGCCGACCUGAGAGGGUGAUCGGCCACACGGGAACUGAGACACGGUCCAGACGACUACGGGAGGAAGCAGUAGGGAAUGUUCCGCAAUGGGCGAAAGCAUGAAGGAGCAAGGCCGCGUGAGUGAUGAAGGUCUUAGGAUCGUAAAAAUCUGUUAUUAGGGAAGAACAUAUGUGUAAGUAACUGUGCACAUAUUGACGGUACCUAAUCAGAAAGCAACGGCUAACUACGUG